rnacentral:rRNA from 1 species
GAUGAACGCUGGCGGCGUGCCUAAUACAUGCAAGUCGAGCGAACGGACGAGAAGCUUGCUUCUCUGAUGUUAGCGGCGGACGGGUGAGUAACACGUGGAUAACCUACCUAUAAGACUGGGAUAACUUCGGGAAACCGUAGCUAAUACCGGAUAAUAUUUUGAACCGCAUGGUUCAAAAGUGAAAGACGGUCUUGCUGUCACUUAUAGAUGGAUCCGCGCUGCAUUAGCUAGUUGGUAAGGUAACGGCUUACCAAGGCAACGAUGCAUAGCCGACCUGAGAGGGUGAUCGGCCACACUGGAACUGAGACACGGUCCAGACUCCUACGGGAGGCAGCAGUAGGGAAUCUUCCGCAAUGGGCGAAAGCCUGACGGAGCAACGCCGCGUGAGUGAUGAAGGUCUUAGGAUCGUAAAACUCUGUUAUUAGGGAAGAACAUAUGUGUAAGUAACUGUGCACAUCUUGACGGUACCUAAUCAGAAAGCCACGGCUAACUACGUG